CAGCAAUGGCAUUACUUUUGAGAAUAAUCCACCAGAGACUAAAGAAGAUUAUUUAUCAAUUCGUGACAAUGUAAAGCUUGCAGAAGCUCUGGAGAAGCGAGAGGAACGUCAAGGAAUAAACUUGAAGGAUAUCUCUCGCAUUGGAGGACAAAAAUAGGGUUCAAAUCCAGGAAAGAUGUGAGAAUUUAAAUCCA
rnacentral:lncRNA from 1 species